rnacentral:lncRNA from 1 species
GCCUUUCGACCUCCUCCCACAAGAGGAGAAGGCCGAGGCAUCAUGGCUGACGAGCGCUCGGCUUCGCCACUACUGCUUCAUGGAGGGGAUAAGAGCAUCCCCUACCCCCUCUUGCUCCACCCGAAACCCUAGCACCCCCUCGAUCCCCUCCCAACCCUAGCGCCUUUCUUUCCCCGCCCCUCUCGUGGUUACGAGCUUGAAUUGAACGCCACCCGGGACUUGCCGUCUUUGUCAGUCGGAGACCCUCCGCUGCCUCGAUCUGCUGUCCAAGAGCUGCUCCGACCUCAUCUCCAUCAUCUACGCGCACCAAGCCGUUGCCAAGGCGCCGGAACAUCGUCACUUCGCCAUUCGUCUCUGCGACGUCCGACGUCGUCGUCGACAGCCGUUGCCCCGGUUGGGUCUUCGCCACCGGAGCCUCCUCGACCUUCCAAGCUCGUAAACAAGCACCGCGGUGAGCCCGGCGUCCGAACCCAUCUUCCUCGUUCUGUUCCCAACCGUAAGCCACCGCACCACUAUGCCCAUGCUCCCGACGAGCUCACGGUCCCCGCGCUUGGCCGCAGCCCGCCUUUGCCGUCCGCGUGCACGACUGCCCCAUGGCCUCCGUCCGCUCGUGCUCACCCCGUGUUAGUCGCGCCUCGCCUCGCCCAGCUCGCGUCCUCGCUACAGCAGCCGGCCGCUGCUAGCCCCCCGAGGGCUGCCAUCCGGCCACCGGCCGCCUGCAGCCGCCCCUGUGUGCCCCGCCUCGCUGGCCCCGCCGGCACUCUGCUCCCUAGUGAGCACUGCCGGCCUCACCCUGAUUUGGUUAAGUGGGGCUAAUCCCCACCCCACUUAGCCCCCCACUCACUCGCCAAGAGGGCACAUGCCUUGUUAAUCGAAGAAAGAUAAUUAAUUACUUAAUUAACUUCUGACUAAAACUGUUUAAUUAACUAAACUAAUUAUUUUAAACUAACACCAACAUGUGGGCCCUGUCACUUUAGUUAAUUUAUUUAGCUAAUUUAAUUCCUCUUAAACCCACUAUCUAUGACACGUGCGGUCGAGCAGUCAGUUUCACUAGUCAACACAAACGGUUGAUUGCUAAUGUCAUGCUGACAUCUUGCUCAUGUAAUAAGUCAAUUUUGUAUUAAAAUAAAUAGAUAUUAAUUUUGUAAUAUUAUUAAAACUUUGAAAAUUAUACAUGAAAGUUUCUUAGAAAACGAGAAGAAUCUGAAUACUCUUUCCGUUCAUGUGUCACAUGCUUCUAGCAUGAUGAACAUGGACACUUUAGGGUCAUGAUCACGUGUCCGGUAGUAGCAUGAGACCCGGGAAAUAUCGUCAGAUAUUUGCCCACUCCGUCCAUGACGUGUAGUAGUGCGUUAGCUCAUGCAUAGCAGUGCAUAUUGCCAUGUCAUGCAUAGUGAUGCAUUUGUUUGCCUUUAUUUAUUGGUUCCUCCCCAUCUUCUCUCUUGUAGAUGUCGAAGCUGACGCUGCUACCGGGUAUGAUUACCUCCCUGACGACUAGCCUUUUGCAGUAGAGCAACAAGGCAAGCAAACCCGCCUUGAUCAUUCAUAUAUCACACAUUCUUUCUGCCUCAUGCUUGCAUUAUAUAUUGCAACUAUUGUAGAUAGCUCCCAUUCUGAUGCAUAGCCUGUUUUUCAUAAACAGUCGUUGUAUCCUGUUGCAUAUUAAAUGCUUAGUAUAGGUGGAUUGGUGAUCCCCAGCGACCCCACUUAGUCCCAUUUGCCCCUGCUUCAUCAUCGAAGACUCGAUGACUCGAAGACCCGAAGACUCGAUCAACUGGUCGACUACUCAUGACCCGUCACAUCACUUCACAUCCCCUUAGUUGUGCGACUCUACAGAGCUACUAUCGAGUACCGAGGGUGACACCUCAUUAUGUACUCCUGAUGUUAACACUGUAGUGUAGUUAACCGGAGGUGGAUUAUGGAGGGUGAUUCCUCCUUCACCACUUCCGAUAAAGACUGUGUCGUGCAACCCCUCAAGCAUGAAUCAUCGAGGAUGAUUCCUCCCUGGUCACCUUGAUAGUUACAUAGAUUGGAAUCCAUCGAGGGUGAUACCUCGGAUUCCUGUGAUGUUAUGUAGACACGGUUACUUUCACUUUACUACUGGGAACAUGAUGAAAUGUGUGGUGCGGGUGGAUUCCCGCAUGAUUGUGACGAGGCGUGGCCGCGCAUUCUUGGCCCUUGCCACACAUCAUCGAGACGGGGCAACGGGACCACAUAUCGUGGAUCGCUAAUCAUCGCCGUAGUUAAUUAAAACAUUAUUGGGAUUGGGAAUUUGAUCUGAGUUGGUCAAUUGGCAUUUUUUGCACUAACCUUCACGCGGGAAUAGUUAUGGGAACUCAAAGUAGUGGUAUCAGCUGAUGCUCUCCGAACGUCAGCAAUGGAGUAGCUUGCGCCCGUGUGCUCCGUGUAAGCAUUGAUCUUGUAUAAGAGGUGCUUGGACUAACCUCAGCCGCCCUCACAACGUGUAGGAGUGGAAAGGGCGAUGGGCCCAUUACCCUUGCGCGCUUAGGAUGUAGACCAACGGGCUGGCCUCUAUGCUGAGCCUAUGUAGGGCUACAACGUAUGGAUCUCCCGAGGCCGGGCAUGACCCAGGAAAGUGUGUACGUCCGGAGUUGAUCGAGCAAGCUGGCAAAUGUGGUGCACCCCUGCAGGGAUGAUUGAACUAUUCAAAUAGUCAUGUCCACAGUAAUAGGACGACUUGGAGUUGUAUCCCGAACUAAUACAACUAGGACUCUGGCAUAACUUGAAUGAUUGGCUUCGAGAUUGCUUUCUCGUAGCGACUCAAGAAAGGAUCUCUUGACGUGACUUAAUAAAUUUGUUGUAACAAUAUGACUACAUAUGUGUUUGUAAUCUACACUCUUAUAAUGCUGCAAGACACUGAAGAUGCUAGUCUUUGGUAGGACUAGACCUUCUCUCUAUUCUUGCAUUUCUGUAGUAAGUCCAAAGAUAUAGCCCCAUUCCUUUGGUAAUCAUGCAUACCUUAGCAUAGUUCUGAUGUCAGUCUUGCGAGUACUUUGGAUGAGUACUCACCGUUGCUUUGCUCCCCCUUUUCCUCUUGAUACGAUUGCCACGACCAGAUGGUGGAGCCCAGGAGAUGGCUGAUCCCACCGACUACUACUACCCCGACGGAGCCUACUACUACACGGAGGCCCCUCACGACUAGGAGUAGUUAGGAGGCUCCCAGGCAGGAGGCCUUGCCUCUUCGAUCCAUGUUAUGUUCGUGCCAGCCUUCUUCAGGGAAAACUUGUUGACUUAUGUCUGUACUCACAUAUUAUUUGCUUUAGCUAACUCGUGUGUAUCAGAGCUUAUGUAUUCGAGCCCUCGAGGCCCUAGCUUAUAAUAUGAAUCUUAUAUGACUUUAAUUUGUGUCUAGAAUUGUGUUGUCAUAUCUUCCCGUGAGUCCCUAAUGUUGGUCGUACGCAUUUGCUUGUAUGAUUAGUGUAUGAUUAAGUUGGAGGCGUCACAAGUUGGUAUCAG